rnacentral:rRNA from 4 species
GGUUAAGCGACUAAGCGUACACGGUGGAUGCCCUGGCAGUCAGAGGCGAUGAAGGGCGUGCUAAUCUGCGAUAAGCGCCGGUAAGGUGAUAUGAACCGUUAUAACCGGCGAUACCCGAAUGGGGAAACCCAGUGUGAUUCGUCACACUAUCAUUAACUGAAUCCAUAGGUUAAUGAGGCGAACCGGGGGAACUGAAACAUCUAAGUACCCCGAGGAAAAGAAAUCAACCGAGAUUCCCCCAGUAGCGGCGAGCGAACGGGGAGGAGCCCAGAGCCUGAAUCAGCAUGUGUGUUAGUGGAAGCGUCUGGAAAGGCGCGCGAUACAGGGUGACAGCCCCGUACACAAAAGCGCAUGUGCUGUGAGCUCGAUGAGUAGGGCGGGACACGUGGUAUCCUGUCUGAAUAUGGGGGGACCAUCCUCCAAGGCUAAAUACUCCUGACUGACCGAUAGUGAACCAGUACCGUGAGGGAAAGGCGAAAAGAACCCCGGCGAGGGGAGUGAAAAAGAACCUGAAACCGUGUACGUACAAGCAGUGGGAGCACCCUUCGGGGUGUGACUGCGUACCUUUUGUAUAAUGGGUCAGCGACUUAUAUUCUGUAGCAAGGUUAACCGAAUAGGGGAGCCGGAGGGAAACCGAGUCUUAAUUGGGCGUUAAGUUGCAGGGUAUAGACCCGAAACCCGGUGAUCUAGCCAUGGGCAGGUUGAAGGUUGGGUAACACUAACUGGAGGACCGAACCGACUAAUGUUGAAAAAUUAGCGGAUGACCUGUGGCUGGGGGUGAAAGGCCAAUCAAACCGGGAGAUAGCUGGUUCUCCCCGAAAGCUAUUUAGGUAGCGCCUCGUGAAUUCAUCUCCGGGGGUAGAGCACUGUUUCGGCUAGGGGGCCAUCCCGGCUUACCAACCCGAUGCAAACUGCGAAUACCGGAGAAUGUUAUCACGGGAGACACACGGCGGGUGCUAACGUCCGUCGUGAAGAGGGAAACAACCCAGACCGCCAGCUAAGGUCCCAAAGUCAUGGUUAAGUGGGAAACGAUGUGGGAAGGCCCAGACAGCCAGGAUGUUGGCUUAGAAGCAGCCAUCAUUUAAAGAAAGCGUAAUAGCUCACUGGUCGAGUCGGCCUGCGCGGAAGAUGUAACGGGGCUAAACCAUGCACCGAAGCUGCGGCAGCGACACUGUGUGUUGUUGGGUAGGGGAGCGUUCUGUAAGCCUGCGAAGGUGGCCUGUGAGGGUUGCUGGAGGUAUCAGAAGUGCGAAUGCUGACAUAAGUAACGAUAAAGCGGGUGAAAAGCCCGCUCGCCGGAAGACCAAGGGUUCCUGUCCAACGUUAAUCGGGGCAGGGUGAGUCGACCCCUAAGGCGAGGCCGAAAGGCGUAGUCGAUGGGAAACGGGUUAAUAUUCCCGUACUUGGUGUUACUGCGAAGGGGGGACGGAGAAGGCUAUGUUGGCCGGGCGACGGUUGUCCCGGUUUAAGCGUGUAGGCUGGUUUUCCAGGCAAAUCCGGAAAAUCAAGGCUGAGGCGUGACGACGAGGCACUACGGUGCUGAAGCAACAAAUGCCCUGCUUCCAGGAAAAGCCUCUAAGCAUCAGGUAACAUCAAAUCGUACCCCAAACCGACACAGGUGGUCAGGUAGAGAAUACCAAGGCGCUUGAGAGAACUCGGGUGAAGGAACUAGGCAAAAUGGUGCCGUAACUUCGGGAGAAGGCACGCUGACAUGUAGGUGAAGUGAUUUACUCAUGGAGCUGAAGUCAGUCGAAGAUACCAGCUGGCUGCAACUGUUUAUUAAAAACACAGCACUGUGCAAACACGAAAGUGGACGUAUACGGUGUGACGCCUGCCCGGUGCCGGAAGGUUAAUUGAUGGGGUCAGCGCAAGCGAAGCUCCUGAUCGAAGCCCCGGUAAACGGCGGCCGUAACUAUAACGGUCCUAAGGUAGCGAAAUUCCUUGUCGGGUAAGUUCCGACCUGCACGAAUGGCGUAAUGAUGGCCAGGCUGUCUCCACCCGAGACUCAGUGAAAUUGAACUCGCUGUGAAGAUGCAGUGUACCCGCGGCAAGACGGAAAGACCCCGUGAACCUUUACUAUAGCUUGACACUGAACAUUGAGCCUUGAUGUGUAGGAUAGGUGGGAGGCUUUGAAGCGUGGACGCCAGUCUGCGUGGAGCCGACCUUGAAAUACCACCCUUUAAUGUUUGAUGUUCUAACGUGGACCCGUGAUCCGGGUUGCGGACAGUGUCUGGUGGGUAGUUUGACUGGGGCGGUCUCCUCCUAAAGAGUAACGGAGGAGCACGAAGGUUGGCUAAUCCUGGUCGGACAUCAGGAGGUUAGUGCAAUGGCAUAAGCCAGCUUGACUGCGAGCGUGACGGCGCGAGCAGGUGCGAAAGCAGGUCAUAGUGAUCCGGUGGUUCUGAAUGGAAGGGCCAUCGCUCAACGGAUAAAAGGUACUCCGGGGAUAACAGGCUGAUACCGCCCAAGAGUUCAUAUCGACGGCGGUGUUUGGCACCUCGAUGUCGGCUCAUCACAUCCUGGGGCUGAAGUAGGUCCCAAGGGUAUGGCUGUUCGCCAUUUAAAGUGGUACGCGAGCUGGGUUUAGAACGUCGUGAGACAGUUCGGUCCCUAUCUGCCGUGGGCGCUGGAGAACUGAGGGGGGCUGCUCCUAGUACGAGAGGACCGGAGUGGACGCAUCACUGGUGUUCGGGUUGUCAUGCCAAUGGCACUGCCCGGUAGCUAAAUGCGGAAGAGAUAAGUGCUGAAAGCAUCUAAGCACGAAACUUGCCCCGAGAUGAGUUCUCCCUGAGACUUAAAGUCUCCUGAAGGAACGUUGAAGACGACGACGUUGAUAGGCCGGGUGUGUAAGCGCAGCGAUGCGUUGAGCUAACCGGUACUAAUGAACCGUGAGGCUUAACCUU